GGGGCAGGAAACCCCCAUGAAACCACAGCUGCUCAUAUCUGUUGCAGAUUAUGAAGAACCCCAGAUAACCAUACCACCAGAUCCACCUCUUCCUCUGGGACACAAGAUCCAGGCCCACUCCCCUGCCACUGGCCUGAGACUUCCUUCCAACAGACCUUGCCUUUUUUACCUUCUCCCUGGGAGUCAGUCUGGUGACGAGAUGGCACUCCUGGAAGCGGUCCUCUUCUCCUCCCUCUGGUCUUUUGGCCUUGGGCAAUUAACUUUGGAGCAACCUGAAUUAUCAGUUACUGGAACAAGAGAAAAGAGUAUAAUUAUGACUUGCAAGGUGUUCUCUAAGGACUUUAGCAAAGAUUACAUCCACUGGUACCGGCAAAAACCUGAUCAGGGUUUAGAACAGCUACUAUAUGUCUCAACAGCCCCUGCGCAGAAUCACUUAGGAGGGAAGAAAAACAAGCUUGAGGCCAGAAAAGAUGCUCCCUCUUCCACUUCUACCUUGAAAAUAAGUUUUUUAGAGAAAGAAGAUGAGGCUACAUACUACUGUGCCGGCUGGUUGAGCGGGAUCAAGGUAUUUGGUGAAGGAACUAAGCUCGUAGUAAUACCUCCUGAUAGAAGGCUUGAUGGAGACUUGUUUCCCAAGCCCACUAUAUUUUUUCCUUCAGUUGAGGAAGUAAAACGCCAUAGUGCUGGAACACAUCUUUGCCUUCUUCAGAAUUUUUUCCCUGAUGCUAUUAAGGUACAAUGGAAAGAAAAGAAUGGCAAUACAAUUCUGGAAUCCCAUCAGGGAAAUAUCAUCAAGACUAAUGACACAUACAUGAAAUUCAGCUGGCUGACUCUGACUAAAAAGGCAAUGGAAAAAGAACAUGUAUGUAUCGUCAAACAUGAGAAUAACAAAGGAGGACGUGAUCAAGAGAUUCUUUUUUCUCCAGUUAACAAAGAGGUUGCUACACAUGCCUGCAUGAAAAAAGAAAGUGAUACCCUGCAGCUGCAGUUUGCGAGCACCUCUGCCUAUUAUACCUACCUCCUCCUCCUCCUCAAGAGCAUGAUCUACUUCUCCAUCAUCGCCUUCUGUGUGUUCUGGAGAAUAGGCAUCUUCAGCAAUGGGAAGAUUUUCUGAUAGAUGGUGCCCUAAAACG
rnacentral:lncRNA from 1 species